ensembl:lncRNA
UAUUGCAGCCAGAAUGAGAUUUUAUUUUAAACAAGGGACGGGAAAACAGCAGCGUUCCAAGGGGGAACUGUUGACAUCGGCACUGUUGCACCUGGGUCACUUUAGGGGGAGGGAAACCGCGGCACCCCAGAUGUAACCUGGAGGCCGGAAUGUGUCAAGUGUCUUCAUUGCUGCGCAUUAUCUCCUGUACUUUACAGGUGGAGAUGUGUGGAUACGUAAGAACACUGGAGAGAGGACAAGAGAAAUUCUCAACACAUGGCAACUCAUAUAAGACGUAACAUCUGUGAAUGAUACAGUAUUCUGAGCACAACAUGCUGUUAAAGCUUCUAUGGAAAAAACAACUCCCAAACGGCUGUGAAAUCAGCUCUGCUGAGCAAGAGGAAGAAGAGGAAUGGGUUGCGUGGCAGGGCCAAACAGGAGAUGUUCAGAGGGAGAUGAUGCCACAUCUGGUCCAGCCGAUGGAAGGUCUUGAAGUUCUCUGACUGGCCUCUACUGAAGAUGGUCGUCUCACUGGAUUUAAGGUUCAGAUGCUCAGUAACAAACUCCACCAAUGAGCCAACAGGGAAGCUUUAGGUUUAUUAAAUGUUGCUAUGAAGGUUUCGCUGUUUUUCUUUGUGAAUGCAAUGAGCUCCAACUGAAACUUGAAUUAGAACUUAGAAGUAAAUCCUUCCAUCUGAAAGGAUUUAGUUGCAUUAAUAACCUCAUAACAUUCUAAUUUUUAUUCCAGUCUUAGUUGGAAAUAGAAUCUCUGUAUUGAUUCAGGUAAAAACUGAACUUCACAGAAUGUUGGAGCAAAACAACCAGAUGAAAACUGUGAUGGUGUUGGAUUGUCAGACCGUAAUGUUGCAGCUCAAAGCAGCUUUUCUAUCUCAGUUCAUUCUGACAUUCAGCUAUGAAUCAACACACUCACAUCUCCUGAUUUAAUGGAGCUGCUUUGCACUUUUUACACUGUUUAUUCACCAAC